CAGGCUGUGUUUUGGUUCAUUUUUCCCACACCCACUGGAUUUGUUCAGGAGGGCCCAGACAAUGUCCCUGGGAUUGCUCAGCUCUGACAGCCAAACAGGCCAGAAGUUGAAGCCGUCUCAUUGUCCAGGGGGUGGGACUCUCAAAAUAGGCUUUGGCAGCAUCUUUUGGCUUGAAAACACUUUGUCAGCUUCUUGCCACAGCAGUUAGUGUGAGCGUUUAGCUACAGGACAUGUUUUCUCUGCUGGUGAAGCUGGAUUAAGGAAUCCUCUACCUCCAGAUGCUUGUUGCUCCCUUUUUAUUAGUGCUGAAUGUGGCGUUGGGGGGGUGUAAAGGAUCGGAGGAAAGAUCCAUGUUUAAAAUAAACUGCCAGAAUACCUCUGAAAGGGUAAUGUGUGGCAAGAAGAUGGAGACGUUGGUGUGGUGGGUUGAAGACACAAAAUGUUGCCUUAAGAACACAUAUUGUACAGCUAGACCAUAAAGAAACAACAUGAAUGAGCUGAGACCUGGGAGGCUGGAACUGAGUGGGACUGGUUCAGAGUCCCCAGUCGGACAAACGCAGUUGGGGGUGAGGAUGAUCCCAAGGGUCUCUUGCAACUGAAAUGAUUCUAUGAGCUGGAGCUGCUCUCCUCCUGCUCCUUCAGUCCUUUUAAGCGAUCCUGCAUUCGUGCACUUACUGGUGUUCAUUUGGGAGCCAAGUCAAAGUGUCUCUCUGCAAUUAAAUGCAAGUAUUACUGCGAUCCCACUCACUAUGUUCCCACAACUUCUCAUUUUUGUAGCGGCUUUUAAACGUCUCAACAGCCAGAGGCAGGAUAAUUGCUUUGGCCAACUGUGUUCUGUUGCUAUAGAGACUGAAAAUGAGCAAAAUGUAGGGUUGGGGUGUAUUUAAAUUUUCUUGCUGUAAGUAGUAGCUGCCGAAAGCACUAUUUUUUUUUUUAAGAGGAAAGGAGCGGUGGAAAGGGAGAGGGAUGGAGAAGAGCAGUAAGCCAACUUCUCGCCCACAGUUUUACAGCUGACAUGGAAGGGGAUUUUAGGUUUGCAAACAGUCUGAAAGCCCAUAGCCGUGUGCCAGCUGCCUGGUAGCACAGAGGAAGCGAGCUGAGGGGUCUCGGUUCGGCUCAGGGGUCUCUGAUGUUCGGUUCCUCCUGUCGGCAGGGACCCCCAGGAGGGCAUGAGCCAAAGGACACCAGCUUUGAGGUGACUUCACCGCCUUUCUCGUUGAAGCUGCUCUCUGAGUUGUGCCUCCGCUCUGGAGGCCGAGCUGAAGAGAUCAGCUGUUUGUCUCGUGUGUGUGUGGUGUGCUGCCUGCCUCUAAGGCCCCUAUAGAAGAUAACCGACUUCAUCACCACCUGAGCUGCCUUCAAGCCAUGAUGCCGACGUCCCCCCCACCGCACAGAGAAAAAAAUGGGCGGCCUUUUAAAACCGUCUAAUGAUUUUAACGUGUUGCUUUUCCUAAAGUAAAUGUGCUACCCACGCUGAAGUUCCAUCAAA